ensembl:lncRNA
CGUCCAAAUAGCUGAAAACGGAGACGCAAACUCAUACACAACAAACUAUAUUCGACCGGUUCAUUGAUACAUGAUUGAAAGUUAUUCUUAAUUUUUUCAGUAUGAAGGUCCACAAACACCCUCUGCUUUGGGUCCCCGGGUCUGAGGUCUGUCUGCGCCUGAGUUACCCUCCACUCGCUAAUUAUUGUCUCGUCUUAGCAUUUGUGUUGAUGCAGAUUUCCUUCAGUCAUGGAAAAAAGUCUUUACGUGAGCAUCCUCUAAAGCUGCAGGAAAAAUUGUGUAGCAACAUCACAACAACACUGCUGCUAUGAGAGAAUUUGCAUUAUUUUGAAUAAACCCACAGAAAGAUCUCACAUUGAGUUCAACUGCAAUGAACUUUGAAAUGCCAAAGAGUCCAAACUAAUAAUAGCUGUGGCUGUUACCGACUGAGAAGAGCAGCUGGCAGCAGUUCAGCGAGUUUAUUCAUGAACGUGGGUUUGGGCGAGCGGCGAGACCGACCCGGAGGGGAAAGGUCGGAUCACAGAGACGAGAGAAACCCGACGGAUGUCCAGCACACGAUCCGGUCGCUUCCUGUUGACCCGAGUGUCCAUCUGAGGAAGUAACAUGCUGACCUCCAACCGGCUAAUAGGCCGAGGGGACAUAUCAGAUAUCAUAGUGUCCCUGGCAAACGGGGCGGCGGGUCUAAUUGGAGCCGGGCUGAUUAUCUCGGGCUGAGUGCCGUGAGACGAGGACGGAGACGGAGGGACCGGUAGCUCAACUGACAGGUGGUAGAACAGCAAUUAUAAAACUAAACUUUGUUGCCUCUCAGAAAGCAGGUCUUAUUUGUAACGAGUGAAGUGAUAAAAGAAGAAAAUAAUUGGAUUUUUUUUUCAGCCUCCAAGCCUUAAAUGUUUUCAGCAAAGAGUCUUUGAACAAAGUGUAUUUCAUUCUAACCUUUGAUUAACGGUUCCCGCACUCGAGGCCGAGCCGCAAAAAAGCAAAUUAUUCUCAAGAUCAAGCUUUAGCCAUCUCAUUAUCUUUUUGCCAUCUCUCCUCAGUUUGUUUCCCUUCACUCGCCCCGACCGGCGAUGUUGUCCGUCCUGUGGAUGUGCUGGUGUCGCUUUAGCGUCUGUUUGUGUUUUUGCCUUUGUCGCAGCAACGAGAAAGCUGUGUUUCAUUUUCUGGGGCCAAUUAGUGACUCACCGACCCGCCUUCACUGUCCGUGUGCGUUUGUUCUGAUCCGGUCUAAAACAAAGAUCUCGCUGGUGGGCGGGACUUGAACCCAGAUGGCCACAAGCCUUAACAAAGUUUUAGCUCGGCCAAAUGAAAAGUGUUCAAUGCGACUUGUCAACUUGUGUGGAGGAGCAGAGGCCGCUUGUGAAAGACCUGGGGUGAAAGGUCAGGUCCGACUGAGUCGGGAAAUACUUUCAAGAAAAAGUAAACUGACAGACUAAGAGACCAAUUUGCUUUUCUUACCACCUUUUCUUUUCUUGAGGGAAGAAGCGAGGCGCCACAGAUUGUGAAGCUACUUUUUUCAGAUGAUAGUUUAUCAUCUUUCAUUCCCGAUGUCUCAUCGUUUUGGCAGAUGCACAUUUUUACCUUCAGUGUGAGAAGUUCACCGGAUCAAAACCAGGUUUUUCAUGACUAAACUUGCGGACUGCGGAGGAGUGGCGCAAAGACCUGUCAAUCAGCGUGUAGCCCCGGCCUCGUCUGCCAUCCGCUGCUUCCUGGUCUGUUUUACUGUCAAUGGACCAUAAUUUACUGUUGUGAUGAAGAUGAACUAGAUAGAGAUGAAACUAGAGAUUGAGACCAUGAACUCAUGUUUACAAUGUUUACUGAGGGAAUAAAUCAAGAGAGAAGUAGAGUCAUUUCCUCAUAGACGUCUAUGGGAGCAGAGGAGUCGCCCCCUGCUGAUCACUACAGAGAAGUAGAGUCAUUUCCUCAUAGACGUCUAUGGGAGCAGAGGAGUCGCCCCCUGCUGGUCACUACAGAGAAGUAGAGUCAUUUCCUCAUAGACGUCUAUGGGAGCAGAGGAGUCGCCCCCUGCUGGUCACUACACAGAAGUAGAGUCAUUUCCUCAUAGACGUCUAUGGGAGCAGAGGAGUCGCCCCCUGCUGGUCACUACACAGAAGUAGAGUCAUUUCCUCAUAGACGUCUAUGGGAGAGAAUGCAGUAUUAAGAAAGGAAGCUUUGGAUCCACACGGUAGAACCGGAGGAUGCUCACUGUUCUGUUACACAACAAUAUAAUACUGAACUAUCAUUCAGAAGUGAUGAUCUACAUUCAUCUUCAAAAAGUAAAGUCAGAUGUUUUGUAGCUAUUUUUGACAAAAAACGUGAUGCUCUGCAGCUUCCUCAGACGCUCAGACAUUCAUCCCACCUGUGGGGAAUCAAGAGGAGAUUUUCUCAUCACUCCUCUGUGAGCUUCAGCUCUGCAAACACUCGUCUCCUCCGGCGGCUUCGGUCCGCUGCCGACACAAACCCGGCGUUCAUCUCCCCGCUCUUUAAUAUUUCAUCUGCUGCGAUAUGAUGAGCGAGGACCCGGCCGACUCACCUGCAGCCGCGUGGAGAAUCUCGGGGAAAAAGACUCAAGGAGUUUUAUUAUUCUUAUUUUAGCGUUCUGACUCUGACAGUUUCAUCUCUGAAUUAUUAAAAGCGCCGCUACCUGCAGCGAGUUCUCCUACACAUUCACCUCACGGUCAGCCGCUCAUUAAUUAAUCACAACGCUCGACUUAUGGAUUUUAAUAUCCUGAAUCAUUUAUGUGGAAGCUUUAUUUUAACCGCCUACAAACAUCUAAUCAAUAUAAGGAACUAUGACUCUGUGGAUAGAGAGUCUUAACUGUGAGAAGUCAACUCAACUUUGGGAGAGUUUUUAUUUACCACACAGACUCCCCCUUUUCUCCUGUUUGCUUCCAGUGAGGAGACGUACCGACCUUCUGCCUCUGCAAACAUCAGCUUCAAGACUUUUAGCCGCGCUGAUUAUUUUCCUGUGACCUCCUCUCGCGAGCGGCCGCGGACUGGGGAGGGGGGAGGAAACGGCGUCUCUCUGGCCCGCUAAAGGUCGCCGUCUCAUCUCCUCGUUCAGCCGCCUGUCUUCGAUCCGGGUCACAUCUCAGAGGGAACUCGCACUUCACGGACUCGUGAAACAUGAAGUGUUCACCAAACAUAUCGUUUGAAGAGGAGAACACGUCUGAAUGAGGUGAGAAGAUGAAUAAACCAGUCAGCGGAAGGAUUCGCUUUAGGAGGCUUUGAAGGACGCUCCUCUUAGCGCCUCCUGGUGUCUCCGGGCUGAAGGGGGAGUCCACCAACAGCCCCUCCGGUUACACGGACGCUUUGAACUGUGGGUAAUCGCUCAGUGAGGAGCCUGAAUGUGCUGAGAGUUCUCAUCAUCCCCCCUUAGCCGACCUCUCCGCUCAACCUUUGGAAGGGAACCCGACAGACCACUUGAUGCCCCCCCGGCUGGAUUACAGCACCAGCUUCCUCUUCGUCCUCCAGACGGUUCCUCUCAAAGGGAAAACCAGCGAGAACAAAGACGCUGCAGAGCAUCAUCUUCUCUUCUCGGGUCCUGCACACUUGAACUCGACGGCCUACAGCUCCUCCGCAGACCAAACCGAGGAUCCUCCAGAAAGAGCUCAGACGUUCAGGAGGAAGAAAAACACGGAAAUAAAGGAGCCUGAAGUGAAGCGAGAGGAAAGACAACGAUGUGAUGCAACGCUGGCGAGAUCUCAGCGAACACAAACAAUAAACCUUCGGCUCUGUCAGCAGAGUUCAGCGCAACACUCCCGUCUCUGUCUGCAAUAAGUUCUGCAAAGACAGAAGUACCUCACUCCAGCUGUGUCAGCAUUAAAGGUACUUGUAGUACCAGGAGUAAAGGCAGCCCUCCAGCAGAAGAAUAUACUGUAUUUUACAACAUUGUACAUCAAUUAUGUGUUCAUGCGUUCAUCAGCUGGAUGACGUUUCAUCACUUCAUGUAGUUCCGAGUUGCUUUUAAUUACCACAUGUUUGAUCUUUUCUAUUCAUACAAUUAAAUCAAACUAUAUUUUAUCUAAGUAACACAAGUUAAAUGUAGUGGAGUAAAAAGUACAUUAGUCCCCUCUAGGUUGAAGUAGCAGUAUGAAGUACAAGUACAGCACAUGAGUAAAUGCAUCAACAUCUUGUGUAAUCCUUUUCUUUGUGUUUGACCUUCAUCUAAACAUCACAUUAUUCUACUUUUAGAGUGAGAUUUAAAGUCUGAUUGAGUUCAGCGGCGAAUCGAGAGACGUUUUCACACGUCUGUGAUAAAGAAACACUCUGAUAAUAAACGUUGUUAGAUGAUGGUUUUCAUGUUUAUUAUCAAGUCUUUUUUAAGCAGCAGAAACCAGUCGGAAGUGAAAAUGUGUGCAGUGCUUCUGCUACGUGGCCCUGGGCCUCCUUUACCCCCCCAAUUACCCCCCCCCCUCCUCGGCUGAUUAUUGAAACUGUCCUCUGGGUGAGAACGUACAGCAAUAACACGCAAAAAAAGCCAAUUGGGUUAAACAACAAGCACAUUGGCCCCCGUGCUGGAGAAAGGGCAGAAUCUAAUAGUCAGGUAGCAAUAUGUGAGUGGAAUUACAGCAUUAGUUUUCAUCAGUGUCCCCCCAGCAGCGAGGGGGGGGGGCACAAAUCUAAUUGAGAGAGAACGCAUUAUCUCCGCCAUUGUUUGCAGGCUUUUCCUCUUUUCUCCGUCGCUGGUGAAACUUUGGGCGGCGCCGUUGUGAGGAGACGAGGAGGCGUUGUGAGGAGACGAGGCGGAGUUGUGAGGAGACGAGGCGGCGUUGUGAGGAGACGAGGCGGAGUUGUGAGGAGACGAGGUGGCGUUGUGAGGAGAUGAGGCGGAGUUGUGAGGAGACGAGGCGGAGUUGUGAGGAGACAAGGAGGC